rnacentral:rRNA from 1 species
GUGGGGAAUUUUGGACAAUGGGCGCAAGCCUGAUCCAGCAAUGCCGCGUGCAGGAAGAAGGCCUUCGGGUUGUAAACUGCUUUUGUACGGAACGAAACGGUCCUGGCUAAUAUCCGGGGCUAAUGACGGUACCGUAAGAAUAAGCACCGGCUAACUACGUGCCAGCAGCCGCGGUAAUACGUAGGGUGCGAGCGUUAAUCGGAAUUACUGGGCGUAAAGCGUGCGCAGGCGGUGCUGUAAGACAGGCGUGAAAUCCCCGGGCUCAACCUGGGAAUUGCGCUUGUGACUGCAGUGCUGGAGUGCGGCAGAGGGGGAUGGAAUUCCGCGUGUAGCAGUGAAAUGCGUAGAUAUGCGGAGGAACACCGAUGGCGAAGGUAAUCCCCUGGGCCUGCACUGACGCUCAUGCACGAAAGCGUGGGGAGCAAACAGGAUUAGAUACCCUGGUAGUCC